AAGGUUGUUAAGCUGCUGAAGUUUGUUACAGAUGGCUAAAGUUUAUUACAGAUAUUUUCCGAUAUAACACGUGAUAAGUACUACUACUAUUACCAUAAAAAUACUUGUACUUGCAUUCAUAUCUUAAUUACUAAGAAUGAGAAUUACGGAUUUCAUUCCUUACUUUUCUCUCUAUUUUCUGCUUUCUACUCCUUCGUCUCUCCAGAGCUGAGUUCAGCUCACGUUCAUCACAGAGCUUAGGUUUUGAUACCUUUCAUGAUAUCAGAGCACUAGGUUUAUAUCCAUGGAAGCUCUCAACAAUUCCAUACCUUCCGCAUCAUUCUCUAGAUUCAAAGCACCUGUUAGUGCAACAAUCAACAUAGUCUCGUUCAAGUUGGAUGAAGACAUCUAUACACCAUGAAGAAGACAAGUAUUGGCGUUCAUAAAAUUUAAUGGCCUGAAAGAUCACCUAAAUGUGAAAAAGAUUCCUGUGAAGUAUGCAUCAGAAGAGGAUCGAAUUGCUGACAAUGAAACUGAAGAGUUCGAAGCAUGGGAGCAAGAGGAUCAGUUCCUCAUUUCCUGGUUUUUUGCAUCGAUCAAUCCAAGCUUUACAAAUCAAAUUGUUGACUGUGAAUACGCGCAUGAGAUCUUGUACAAAUUAGAAGAUUAUUUUGCUAAGAGGAAAAAAUCCAAAGUGAAGCAGUUGAAAACUCAAAUCAAAGGUAUUAAACUCCAAAAUUCAAUUGCAGAUUACAUGUCCAGAAUCAAGAAGUUGACGAACUCGAUCUCUGCGUUAGGAGCACCAUUGACAAGUGAAGAAUUUGUCGAGUCGGUCACUCAAGGCUUGAAUGAGGAUUAUAAUGCGUUCAUCAUAAUGCUUUCAUCAAAAGCAUAUUCGAACACUGAAAGCGAGGUUGAAGCAUUGCUAGUUGGACAAGAGGAGCUGAUUGAGAGGUUCAAGAAGGUUGAGCUAGGCACGAUUCAAGUUCAUAUGAUGCAGGGAAGCAACACGAAAUCAGAAGAUCACAAGCAAGCUUAUAUACAGCAAUAACAAGCAUUCCAUCAAGACAGAAAUCAAGAACCUUGUCAUUCCAUCACGCGAGGAAGAUUUAGUGGAAGAGGCUUCAGAGGUGGAAGAUCUAGUGCAUAUGGCCACAGACCGCAAUGCCAGGUGUGUGGACGCCUUGGUCACACAGCCUAGGACUGUUACCACAGGUUCAACCAGAUCUUCCCUAAUCCACACUCAAACUCUCAUGCGCCACCUCCACCUUCAACUACAUUUCAUCAUCCACAAGGACAGCAGCAACAAGUAGCACCACAAGCAAGUCCAGCAAGUGCACUUCUCGCAGCAACACCUCCAACUACACCUUUCACGGAUCGAGCUUGGUACUUGAACACAGGCGUAUCUCAUCACUUGACGUUUGAUGGAAACAAUCUGGUUGUAAGGCUCAGAAUAUCAAGGUACAGAUCAGGUAUUUGCAGGUAAUGGACAAGCUUUGUAAAAUUUCAAGGGACCAAGGAAACACUGCUCAUAGGGUCUCUUAGAGGGGGAUUGUAUCCGCUUGACAAUAUUGGAGUAUUGGCCAGGAGUGCACAAUCCUGGAGUGUAUCAAAACCUGUCUCUCAUACAAGCAAUGCAGCAAUAAACUCUUCCACCAGGUCUAUGGUUGCAGAUUCAAAGUGCAGUUAGGCAGCUCACAGCUCAAGCGAUACUAUUCCUUUUGUUGAAAGUGCUGAAAACACAAUUGGUCCAAUAAGUGUGAAUAAAAUAAUGCAGCUGAAGCAUCAUUAAUUAGCAAUGAGCUCAGUUUACGUAGUGUAAAUGCAGAAAAUGAAAAGUGUGUAGUGCUAGCUAGUACAACAACCACCAGCUAGUAGAACUUCUGUUUUUGAUGUGUGGCAUAGACGGCUGGGACAUCCAGCAAGCAAAAUUGUAAAGCAUGUUAUACAUUUGUGUAAUGUUGACAGUGAAAAAUUCAAUAUACAUGAGAAAAAUUCUGUCC